rnacentral:lncRNA from 1 species
AUGGGAGUCUCGUCUCUUUUCUUCUCAUUCAAGAACAAGCCAGGACAAGUGAUUCUGGAAAAGGGGAGGGGACUGGCGAGGGGGAGAGGAUACUUACGCGGGUGCAGAGGGCAGUGGGACCGAGCGUGGUUUUGCCGGCAGGGAGAGGAGAACACGCGCGCGCACACACGCGGCGGUGUCUUGCGGUUGAUGAAUGUGAUAAUUGGACCCGGGCCGACCUUUCCUACAGAAGCUGCCCAUCAGACCAAUGAAGCCACGAGACAAAAAGUUCUAUUCAAGAAGAGAACAACAAGAAAGAAAAAGAGGUCAACAAUCCUAGGACAGAAGAGCUCCUUGGCACUGGAACCCUCCUGGUCUGGUGAGGGAGGGAUGAGGGAUGCUCUGAGGACACACAGCCAUCAUCCAAAACUUCCUACAUUCGGAUGGAGGAAAGAGGUUGCACCAGAGCUUCGGAUCCACGUUGCCUAAAGGAUGAUUCAAACUGUGUGAACGAGUCACAGAAGGGUCUCAUGGGAACAGAAAGUUUUGAGAGAGUUUACUGUUUGUGCAAGAUGACUGGUUGGGUAAAGAAGUCCAAAGUUUAUUAUCUGCAGAACAAAUAAAGCCCGGGCAAAGGUAACUGAAAUGAAUGUCUCCCACCUUGUCCCUUCAGCCUGUCUAAGGGGAUGUUUGCGCCAAUGAUUGCGCAACCGAGAACAUAAUCUAUGUGUGUC